CCCAACUAUCCCUAUUAAUCAUUACGUCAAUCCUAGAAACCAACAAAAUAGGAUCGAACGUCCUAUUUCAUUAUUCCAUGCUAAUGUAUUCAAGCGUUAGCCUGCUUUAAACACUCUAAUUUUUUCAAAGUAACAGUCCAGAUUCCCUGCAACACCAAAUUAAUGGCACUACAGUUCAUCAGGAAGGAGGAAUUAGUAAGACCAGUACAUGACCCGGCAGAGUCCAGUUCAUAACCAGCCUACUAAUCCCGAAAUUCAACUACGAACUUUUUAACUGCAACAACUUUAAUAUACGCUAUUGGAGCUGGAAUUACCGCGGCUGCUGGCACCAGACUUGCCCUCCAA
rnacentral:misc_RNA from 1 species